UUGUCCUAUCACAACAGACCCUGCUGAAGAGUUUGUCCCCCUUUCUUACAACCCCUUUAAAUACUGAGGGGCCACUCUCAGGUCUCCCCAGAGCCCUCUCUCCUCCAGGCUGCCCAGCCCCAGCUCUCAGUUUGCCCUUUUAGAGGUGUUCCAUCCCUCGGGUCAUUUUUGUGACCCUAAAGAGUGUAUUUAAGAGCACAGCUGAUGUAGUGACACCUCUCAUCACCCAGUAAAACCUGGUGAUGCAAUGACGUUAUGCUGUUGUGAAACAAAUGGUCAUGCACAUCUGGUGAGGGUUUGUCAUAGCGCACUGAACAAUUUCAUUAAGCUCUGAAGGAAAAACAUGAGAGAAACUUUGAAUAUUAUCACCCUCAUCUCCACCAAAUCCAGACAGGAGGAAUUCACAUUUGCCAGUCCCACACAAACCUACAGGAUGAGGCACAAAGAGCUACAUACGCAUAAUUAAGGUUAUUGCUCACAUGUGCGAGAUAUUUAUAGGAGCAGGGCAAUAGGCAGUAUUGACAAAGCUGCAUUUUGCUUCCUGAUUUAUUUGAGUGGCCAGCUCCUAAUGUUCCAGCACUACUUCAAUGAGAGUAUCAAAUACGUUAUAUCAAAUAUGCAGCUACUCCUAGAGUGCAUAUGGCUUUCCAAAAUUCUGCUGAAUGCUGAGCAGCCAGCUUUACUUAGCUUGUGCAAUUAAAAAUACAUGUUUUAAGGGGAACUUUGCUGAGAACAGAAAAAACGAUCAACUAUCUAAGCUGAAAGAAGAGAGAAGACUUGCACCACUGAUAUUUUUUCAUCUUUUCAUCUAAAACAAGAAAGGUAUCGGGUUUAGAUAAUUAGAGUUGAACAAUUGCAACCAAGAAGUCCUGGUGACCCCACACAGAAUUACAGGUUCUAAACCACAGCUGAGCACCUGGUUUAUGGGCAGAAUUUGGAGCAGGACCAAGGGCGUGCUUGCUCUCCGUGACCAUGAACAUUAAGCCAUACCCAGAAUGCAAACCAAGCAGGCUGCAAGGUGUAAGUCACUGUGUAACUACACAACAUACUCAAAACUUAAGGACACUGAGACUUGUUGGUAGUUCGGGAUUAGAAUAUGAACAAUGGUAAUCAGUUACGACUUGAAUACUCACUUUCAACUUCAAUAACUCAUCCUGAAAAACACAUACCUUCCGCUCAUUGUGAUUCAGCUCAUAGGUCAAGAAUUGUCCCUGGCCAUUUUUCUGCCCAAACAGUGGAAAUGCCGUGUGCUGAAACCCGAGUUUAAACUUCCAAGAAAUGAAACCACUAGAACCUCAAGUUUCCUCUUCCCUCUUUUUCAGUCAUGUGCCCGUAUCUGAGUGGAGCUCAACCAUGUCAAGCCGUUCAGUGCUGACUACAUUUCAAUCAGCUGUCUCUGGUGAGAAAGAACAGAGACAGUUGUUUCAACUACUCGGGAUUUAUUAAUAGUUUUGAAAAUUAUUCAAGCAUGCUGCAUUUUGUGACAGAUCUUUAUAAUUUAUUAUCUGUGUAGUAAUUUUCCUGACAGCUCAUUGAGCAGCGGUGCAGAGGACUGUUUCUUGUGCAAACAAUGGACUUCAAGAACAUUUGAAAAGUCAUCUUUUGAUUCAUCCCCAAAGUAGUGCAGAGCUGUACACCGGAUCUACGUGCUUCUGAGAGCAGCUGACAACUGCUACAACAGAAACAUGGGGAGCAGAAUAAGGAACUGCACCCAAGAAUCUCCAAGCAAUUUACUAACUUCAGUUCAUUUUCAUACAUCUCAGAAGCAGUUAUAAACGCAACUGAUGAGCUAUGGCUUCGUUCUAUUGUUGGCUUAAAGUUAUAUAGGAAUAUGUAUUUAUAAAAAUCCAAUAAGAGUCAGGAAUAGAAUAGAAUAUUGAUUCUUCCAGUAACAAGGUACUUGGGAAGGAAGGAAAAGAUGUUAUUUAUUUUGGUUUGGCUGUUCUGCUGGUACUCCUUGUUCUAGGAAAAUGGAGUCCAUAAAGUUUUCAGCUU
ensembl:lncRNA